AGAGUUUGAUCCUGGCUCAGGAUGAACGCUAGCGGCAGGCUUAAUACAUGCAAGUCGAGGGGCAGCAUGACUGUAGCAAUACAGUUGAUGGCGACCGGCAAACGGGUGCGGAACACGUACAGAACCUUCCUUCGAGCGGGGAAUAGCCCAGAGAAAUUUGGAUUAAUACCCCAUAGAACUAUGAAGUGGCAUCACUUUAUACUUAAAGAUUUAUCACUUGAAGAUGGCUGUGCGGCUGAUUAGGUAGUUGGCGGGGUAACGGCCCACCAAGCCUGCGAUCAGUAACUGGUGUGAGAGCACGACCAGUCACACGGGCACUGAGACACGGGCCCGACUCCUACGGGAGGCAGCAGUAAGGAAUAUUGGUCAAUGGACGAAAGUCUGAACCAGCCAUGCCGCGUGGAGGAUGAAGGCCCUCUGGGUUGUAAACUUCUUUUAUAUGGGACGAAAAAGGGUCUUUCUAGAUCAACUGACGGUACCAUUUGAAUAAGCACCGGCUAACUCCGUGCCAGCAGCCGCGGUAAUACGGAGGGUGCAAGCGUUAUCCGGAUUCACUGGGUUUAAAGGGUGCGUAGGUGGGUUGGUAAGUCAGUGGUGAAAUCUCCAAGCUUAACUUGGAAACUGCCAUUGAUACUAUCAGUCUUGAAUAUUGUGGAGGUUAGCGGAAUAUGUCAUGUAGCGGUGAAAUGCUUAGAUAUGACAUAGAACACCAAUUGCGAAGGCAGCUGGCUACACAUAUAUUGACACUGAGGCACGAAAGCGUGGGGAUCAAACAGGAUUAGAUACCCUGGUAGUCG
rnacentral:rRNA from 1 species